rnacentral:rRNA from 1 species
CCCUUAGAUGUCCUGGGCCGCACGCGUGCUACACUGAUGCAUACAGCGAGUACUUUCCAGCUCCGCGAGGCAGCUGGUAAUCAGCAAUAUGCAUCGUGCUGGGGAUAGAUCUUUGGAAUUAUAGAUCUUGAACGAGGAAUUCCUAGUAAGCGCAAGUCACUAGCUUGCGCUGAUUAAGUCCCUGCCCUUUGUACACACCGCCCGUCGCUCCUACCGAUUUCGAGUGAUUCGGUGAACCUUUUGGACAGCGUCUGUCCUCGUGUCAGAUGCUGAAAGUCAAGUAAACCAUAUCACUUAGAGGAAGGAGAAGUCGUAACA